rnacentral:rRNA from 1 species
AUGAAAAAACUAAAAGCACUCGGUCAGGAGUUUUUUGGCCAUGCUGGAUUCCCUUUUUUGGAAACAUUGCUACUAGAACGCCUACCCAAAUUGGAGUGGUGCCUUGUGGACAAUGACAAAGUCUUGCAGAAUCUCAGACAUCUCUCUGUAGCUGGUUGUCCACGGCUAAGAGCAUAUCCCACCCAUGCUCGUACACUCAGACAUAUAGCUAUACUUGACAAGGAAACAAUCAAAGUUAAGUUACGGUGGGAUAGUCUUGAUCUGUCAAAAUCAUUUUGUCGCCUUGUAUCAAGUUCCUUCCAUGUCUUGCAUGCUCAUCACCUAGAGUUUGUACAAGAUAUGGGGAUCUAUGUGGAGCGUUUGGUAGACACGUCCAUCACCGUGUUUAACAAUCUGAAAUCACUUAAACAGUUGCAAAUAUGUGGCAACAACCUGGCAGAAAGCUUCUCCGUAAUUGCUACAUUGUGGAAUGAGAAUGGGAGCACUGUACUUCCUUCAUCACUUCGAUUCCUUAAGUUAAAAGGGUGCUACCUGCAACCAUCCUCUUUCAACAAGUUACUGAAGAAUCUCUCGUCGCUUGGUGCACUACACUUAAGCGAAUGUGACACUGUUGAGAUACCGGGUGUACCGGUAAGCCUACACCACUUGACGAUGCUGAAACAGUUGGACAUUCAUACAUGUGAUUGGAUAUCAUCCAUUGAGGGAGCAGAAGCACUGUUGUCCCUUGAAGAGAUGACAAUUAAAGAAUGUUAUGCUCUGGAAUCUGUACCGUACUUAGAUGACAUGCCAUCUCUUCAAAAGCUACAUUUAUCCAAGUGCCCUCAAGUUAUGCGACUGUCUAAAGCAGGCCACCAGACAGCCCUGAAGGAGCUGAUUGUAAAAUUUUGUGAUAGGCUAUCAUCUCUGCGACAGUUGUGUGACCUUGUUUCGCUUGUGAGGCUGACGAUUAGUGGUUGUUCUAAUUUAUUGUGGCUUCCGGAUAUGGAUGGUUUUUAUUCGCUUCGGGUUCUCUCAAUUGAUCGGUGCCCCCGGCUGAUGUCACUGCCACGGAGUGGUCUUCCUGUAUCACUUGAAACAUUUUUCCUUUCUGAAUGCAAUCAAGCAUUGGAGGAGCAGUUUCAGCAAAAGGAAGGUCCAGACUGGAACAAGUUUGCUGCCCUUCCAGGAUGCAAGUGGGAACCUUGUUGGUAA